rnacentral:rRNA from 1 species
UACGGGGGGUGCAAGCGUUAUUCGGAAUUAUUGGGCGUAAAGGGCGCGUAGGCGGUUGGAAAAGUCAGAUGUGAAAGCCCCGGGCUUAACCUGGGAAGUGCAUUUGAUACUAUUUGACUUGAGUAUGGGAGAGGGUAGUGGAAUUCCUGGUGUAGAGGUGAAAUUCGUAGAUAUCAGGAGGAACACCUGUGGCGAAGGCGGCUACCUGGACCAAUACUGACGCUGAGGCGCGAAGGCGUGGGGAGCAAACAGG